GACGAACGCUGGCGGAGUGCCUAAUACAUGCAAGUCGAACGAGAGCGACCGGUGCUUGCACUGGUCAAUCUAGUGGCGAACGGGUGAGUAACACGUGGGUAACCUGCCCAUCAGAGGGGGAUAACAUCCGGAAACGGAUGCUAAAACCGCAUAGGUCUUCGAGCCGCAUGGCUUGAAGAGGAAAAGAGGCGCAAGCUUCUGCUGAUGGAUGGACCCGCGGUGCAUUAGCUAGUUGGUGAGGUAACGGCUCACCAAGGCCGUGAUGCAUAGCCGACCUGAGAGGGUGAUCGGCCACAUUGGGACUGAGACACGGCCCAAACUCCUACGGGAGGCAGCAGUAGGGAAUCUUCCGCAAUGGACGCAAGUCUGACGGAGCAACGCCGCGUGAGUGAAGAAGGUUUUCGGAUCGUAAAACUCUGUUGUUAGAGAAGAACAAGUGCUAGAGUAACUGUUAGCGCCUUGACGGUAUCUAACCAGAAAGCCACGGCUAACUACGUG
rnacentral:rRNA from 1 species